AAGCUCGUAGUUGAAUUUCGGGAUCAAUUUAUUGGUCGUGCAAUAGUACGUACUGGUAUUAUUGAUUCCUACCUUCUGACGAACCAUGAUGUCAUUAAUUUGGUGUCAUGGGGAAUCAGGACUGUUACUUUGAAAAAAUUAGAGUGUUUAAAGCAGGCUCACGCUUGAAUACAUUAGCAUGGAAUAACGGAAUAGGACGUUUGAUUCUAUUUUGUUGGUUUCUAGGAUCGACGUAAUGAUUAAUAGGGAUAGUUGGG
rnacentral:rRNA from 1 species